rnacentral:tRNA from 1 species
GUACCCAUGGUGUAGUGGUUAUCACAUCCGUUAAAUACGCGGAAGGUCCCAGGUUCGAAGCCCGGUGGGUACA